rnacentral:rRNA from 1 species
CCUACGGGAGGCAGCAGUGGGGGAUAUUGCACAAUGGGGGGAACCCUGAUGCAGCGACGCCGCGUGGGUGAAGAAGCGCCUCGGCGCGUAAAGCCCUGUCAGCAGGGAAGAAAAUGACGUUACCUGAAGAAGAAGCCACGGCUAACUACGGGCCAGCAGCCGCGGUCUUACGGAGGGGGCAAGCGCUAGCCGGAUUUACGGGGGGUAAAGGGGGCGCAGACGGCGGUGCAAGCCAGGAGUGAAAGCCCGGGGCCCAACCCCGGGACUGAUUGUGGAACUGGGUGGCUGGAGUGCAGGAGGGGCAGGCGGAAGUCCAGGUGUAGCGGUGAAAUGCGUAGAUAUCAGGAGGAACACCGGUGGCGAAGGCGGCCUGCUGGAAUACAACUGACGUUGAGGACCGAAAGCGUGGGGAGCAAACAGGAUUAGAUACCCGAGUAGUC